rnacentral:rRNA from 1 species
UGCGAGUCAUUGUAGCAAUACAAGGCAGACGGCUCAGUAACGCGUAGUCAACCUACCCUAUGGACGGGAAUAACCUCGGGAAACUGAGUAUAAUGCCCGAUAGAACACUAUACCUGGAAUGGUUUGUGUUCCAAAUGAUUUAUCGCCGUAGGAUGGGACUGCGGCCUAUCAGUUUGUUGGUGAGGUAAUGGCCCACCAAGACUAUUACAGGUACGGGCUCUGAGAGGAGUGGCCCGGAGAUGGGUACUGAGACACGGACCCAGGCCCUAUGGGGCGCAGCAGGCGAGAAAACUUUGCAAUGUGCGAAAGCACGACAAGGUUAAUCCGAGUGGUUUCUGCUAAAGGAACCUUUUGACAGUCCUAGAAACACUGUUGAAUAAGGGGUGGGCAAGUUCUGGUGUCAGCCGCCGCGGUAAAACCAGCACCUCAAGUGGUCAGGAUGGUUAUUGGGCCUAAAGCAUCCGUAGCCGGUUCUGUAAGUUUUCGGUUAAAUCUGUACGCUCAACGUACAGGCUGCUGGGAAUACUGCAGAACUAGGGAGUGGGAGAGAUAGACGGUACUCGGGAGGAAGUGGUAAAAUGCUUUGAUCUCUCGAUGACCACCUGUGGCGAAGGCGGUCUAUCAGAACACGCCCGACGGUGAGGGGUGAAAGCUGGGGGAGCAAACCGGAUUAGAUACCCGGGUAGUCCCAGCUGUAAACUAUGCAAACUCAAUGAUGCAUUGACUUAUGGUC